GGGUUGUGAGGUUAAGCGACUAAGCGUACACGGUGGAUGCCCUGGCAGUCAGAGGCGAUGAAGGACGUGCUAAUCUGCGAAAAGCGUCGGUAAGGUGAUAUGAACCGUUACAGCCGGCGAUGUCCGAAUGGGGAAACCCAGUGCAAUUCGUUGCACUAUCGUUAACUGAAUACAUAGGUUAACGAGGCGAACCGGGGGAACUGAAACAUCUAAGUACCCCGAGGAAAAGAAAUCAACCGAGAUUCCCCCAGUAGCGGCGAGCGAACGGGGAGCAGCCCAGAGUCUGAAUCAGCUUGUGUGUUAGUGGAACGGUCUGGAAAGUCCGACGGUACAGGGUGAUAGUCCCGUACACCAAAAUGCACAGGCUGUGAACUCGAAGAGUAGGGCGGGACACGUGGUAUCCUGUCUGAAUAUGGGGGGACCAUCCUCCAAGGCUAAAUACUCCUGACUGACCGAUAGUGAACCAGUACCGUGAGGGAAAGGCGAAAAGAACCCCGGCGAGGGGAGUGAAAAAGAACCUGAAACCGUGUACGUACAAGCAGUGGGAGCACCUUCGGGUGUGACUGCGUACCUUUUGUAUAAUGGGUCAGCGACUUAUAUUCUGUAGCAAGGUUAACCGUAUAGGGGAGCCGCAGGGAAACCGAGUCUUAACUGGGCGUUAAGUUGCAGGGUAUAGACCCGAAACCCGGUGAUCUAGCCAUGGGCAGGUUGAAGGUUGGGUAACACUAACUGGAGGACCGAACCGACUAAUGUUGAAAAAUUAGCGGAUGACUUGUGGCUGGGGGUGAAAGGCCAAUCAAACCGGGAGAUAGCUGGUUCUCCCCGAAAGCUAUUUAGGUAGCGCCUCGUGAAUUCAUCUUCGGGGGUAGAGCACUGUUUCGGCUAGGGGGUCAUCCCGACUUACCAACCCGAUGCAAACUACGAAUACCGAAGAAUGUUAUCACGGGAGACACACGGCGGGUGCUAACGUCCGUCGUGAAGAGGGAAACAACCCAGACCGCCAGCUAAGGUCCCAAAGUCAUGGUUAAGUGGGAAACGAUGUGGGAAGGCACAGACAGCCAGGAUGUUGGCUUAGAAGCAGCCAUCAUUUAAAGAAAGCGUAAUAGCUCACUGGUCGAGUCGGCCUGCGCGGAAGAUGUAACGGGGCUAAACCAUGCACCGAAGCUGCGGCAGCGACACUAUGUGUUGUUGGGUAGGGGAGCGUUCUGUAAGCCUGCGAAGGUGACCUGUGAGGGUUGCUGGAGGUAUCAGAAGUGCGAAUGCUGACAUAAGUAACGAUAAAGCGGGUGAAAAGCCCGCUCGCCGGAAGACCAAGGGUUCCUGUCCAACGUUAAUCGGGGCAGGGUGAGUCGACCCCUAAGGCGAGGCCGAAAGGCGUAGUCGAUGGGAAACAGGUUAAUAUUCCUGUACUUGGUGUUACUGCGAAGGGGGACGGAGAAGGCUAUGUUAGCCGGGCGACGGUUGUCCCGGUUUAAGCAUGUAGGCUGGUUAUCCAGGCAAAUCCGGAUAAUCAAGGCUGAGGUGUGAUGACGAGGCACUACGGUGCUGAAGUAACAAAUGCCCUGCUUCCAGGAAAAGCCUCUAAGCAUCAGGUAACAUCAAAUCGUACCCCAAACCGACACAGGUGGUCAGGUAGAGAAUACCAAGGCGCUUGAGAGAACUCGGGUGAAGGAACUAGGCAAAAUGGUGCCGUAACUUCGGGAGAAGGCACGCUGGUGUGUAGGUGAAGUCCCUGCGGAUGGAGCUGAGACCAGUCGAAGAUACCAGCUGGCUGCAACUGUUUAUUAAAAACACAGCACUGUGCAAACACGAAAGUGGACGUAUACGGUGUGACGCCUGCCCGGUGCCGGAAGGUUAAUUGAUGGGGUUAUCCGUAAGGAGAAGCUCUUGAUCGAAGCCCCGGUAAACGGCGGCCGUAACUAUAACGGUCCUAAGGUAGCGAAAUUCCUUGUCGGGUAAGUUCCGACCUGCACGAAUGGCGUAAUGAUGGCCAGGCUGUCUCCACCCGAGACUCAGUGAAAUUGAACUCGCUGUGAAGAUGCAGUGUACCCGCGGCAAGACGGAAAGACCCCGUGAACCUUUACUAUAGCUUGACACUGAACAUUGAGCCUUGAUGUGUAGGAUAGGUGGGAGGCUUUGAAGCGUGGACGCCAGUCUGCGUGGAGCCAACCUUGAAAUACCACCCUUUAAUGUUUGAUGUUCUAACGUUGGCCCCUGACCGGGGUUGCGGACAGUGUCUGGUGGGUAGUUUGACUGGGGCGGUCUCCUCCCAAAGCGUAACGGAGGAGCACGAAGGUUAGCUAAUCCUGGUCGGACAUCAGGAGGUUAGUGCAAUGGCAUAAGCUAGCUUGACUGCGAGCGUGACGGCGCGAGCAGGUGCGAAAGCAGGUCAUAGUGAUCCGGUGGUUCUGAAUGGAAGGGCCAUCGCUCAACGGAUAAAAGGUACUCCGGGGAUAACAGGCUGAUACCGCCCAAGAGUUCAUAUCGACGGCGGUGUUUGGCACCUCGAUGUCGGCUCAUCACAUCCUGGGGCUGAAGUAGGUCCCAAGGGUAUGGCUGUUCGCCAUUUAAAGUGGUACGCGAGCUGGGUUUAGAACGUCGUGAGACAGUUCGGUCCCUAUCUGCCGUGGGCGCUGGAGAAUUGAGGGGGGCUGCUCCUAGUACGAGAGGACCGGAGUGGACGCAUCACUGGUGUUCGGGUUGUCAUGCCAAUGGCACUGCCCGGUAGCUAAAUGCGGAAGAGAUAAGUGCUGAAAGCAUCUAAGCACGAAACUUGCCCCGAGAUGAGUUCUCCCUGAGACUUUAAGUCUCCUGAAGGAACGUUAAAGACGAUGACGUUGAUAGGCCGGGUGUGUAAGCGCAGCGAUGCGUUGAGCUAACCGGUACUAAUGAACCGUGAGGCUUAACCUUACAACGCCGAAG
rnacentral:rRNA from 1 species